UACGAAGGGUGCAAGCGUUAAUCGGAAUUACUGGGCGUAAAGGGUGCGUAGGCGGUUGUUUAAGUCUGUCGUGAAAUCCCCGGGCUCAACCUGGGAAUGGCGAUGGAAACUGGCGGGCUGGAGUAUGGCAGAGGGGGGUGGAAUUCCGCGUGUAGCAGUGAAAUGCGUAGAGAUGCGGAGGAACACCGAUGGCGAAGGCAGCCCCCUGGGCCAAUACUGACGCUCAGGCACGAAAGCGUGGGGAGCAAACAGG
rnacentral:rRNA from 1 species